rnacentral:rRNA from 1 species
GACGGAGCCGCAGCGAAAGCGAGUCUGAAUAGGGCGUUUAGUACGUGGUCGUAGACCCGAAACCAGGUGAUCUACCCAUGUCCAGGGUGAAGUUCAGGUAACACUGAAUGGAGGCCCGAACCCACGCACGUUGAAAAGUGCGGGGAUGAGGUGUGGGUAGCGGAGAAAUUCCAAUCGAACCUGGAGAUAGCUGGUUCUCCCCGAAAUAGCUUUAGGGCUAGCCUUAAGUGUAAGAGUCUUGGAGGUAGAGCACUGAUUGAACUAGGGGUCCUCAUCGGAUUACCGAAUUCAGUCAAACUCCGAAUGCCAAUGACUUAUCCUUAGGAGUCAGACUGCGAGUGAUAAGAUCCGUAGUCAAGAGGGAAACAGCCCAGAUCGCCAGCUAAGGUCCCAAAGUGUGUAUUAAGUGGAAAAGGAUGUGGAGUUGCUUAGACAACUAGGAUGUUGGCUCAGAAGCAGCCACCAUUUAAAGAGUGCGUAAUAGCUCACUAGUCGAGUGACUCUGCGCCGAAAAUGUACCGGGGCUAAAUACACCACCGAAGCUGCGAAUUGAUACCAAUGGUAUCAGUGGUAGGGGAGCGUUCUAAGUGCAGUGAAGUCAGACCGGAAGGACUGGUGGAGCGCUUAGAAGUGAGAAUGCCGGUAUGAGUAGCGAAAGACGGGUGAGAAUCCCGUCCACCGAAUGCCUAAGGUUUCCUGAGGAAGGCUCGUCCGCUCAGGGUUAGUCAGGACCUAAGCCGAGGCCGACAGGCGUAGGCGAUGGACAACAGGUUGAUAUUCCUGUACCACCUCUUUAUCGUUUGAGCAAUGGAGGGACGCAGAAGGAUAGAAGAAGCGUGCGAUUGGUUGUGCACGUCCAAGCAGUUAGGCUGAUAAGUAGGCAAAUCCGCUUAUCGUAAAGGCUGAGCUGUGAUGGGGAAGCUCCUUAUGGAGCGAAGUCUUUGAUUCCCCGCUGCCAAGAAAAGCUUCUAGCGAGAUAAAAGGUGCCUGUACCGCAAACCGACACAGGUAGGCGAGGAGAGAAUCCUAAGGUGUGCGAGAGAACUCUGGUUAAGGAACUCGGCAAAAUGACCCCGUAACUUCGGGAGAAGGGGUGCUUUCUUAACGGAAAGCCGCAGUGAAUAGGCCCAAGCGACUGUUUAGCAAAAACACAGGUCUCUGCGAAGCCGUAAGGCGAAGUAUAGGGGCUGACACCUGCCCGGUGCUGGAAGGUUAAGGAGAGGGGUUAGCGUAAGCGAAGCUCUGAACUGAAGCCCCAGUAAACGGCGGCCGUAACUAUAACGGUCCUAAGGUAGCGAAAUUCCUUGUCGGGUAAGUUCCGACCCGCACGAAAGGUGUAACGAUUUGGGCACUGUCUCAACCAGAGACUCGGUGAAAUUAUAGUACCUGUGAAGAUGCAGGUUACCCGCGACAGGACGGAAAGACCCCGUGGAGCUUUACUGUAGCCUGAUAUUGAAUUUUGGUACAGUUUGUACAGGAUAGGCGGGAGCCAUUGAAACCGGAGCGCUAGCUUCGGUGGAGGCGCUGGUGGGAUACCGCCCUGACUGUAUUGAAAUUCUAACCUACGGGUCUUAUCGACCCGGGAGACAGUGUCAGGUGGGCAGUUUGACUGGGGCGGUCGCCUCCUAAAGUGUAACGGAGGCGCCCAAAGGUUCCCUCAGAAUGGUUGGAAAUCAUUCGUAGAGUGCAAAGGCAUAAGGGAGCUUGACUGCGAGACCUACAAGUCGAGCAGGGACGAAAGUCGGGCUUAGUGAUCCGGUGGUUCCGCAUGGAAGGGCCAUCGCUCAACGGAUAAAAGCUACCCCGGGGAUAACAGGCUUAUCUCCCCCAAGAGUCCACAUCGACGGGGAGGUUUGGCACCUCGAUGUCGGCUCAUCGCAUCCUGGGGCUGUAGUCGGUCCCAAGGGUUGGGCUGUUCGCCCAUUAAAGCGGUACGCGAGCUGGGUUCAGAACGUCGUGAGACAGUUCGGUCCCUAUCCGUCGUGGGCGCAGGAAAUUUGAGAGGAGCUGUCCUUAGUACGAGAGGACCGGGAUGGACGCACCGCUGGUGUACCAGUUGUUCUGCCAAGGGCAUAGCUGGGUAGCUAUGUGCGGAAGGGAUAAGUGCUGAAAGCAUCUAAGCAUGAAGCCCCCCUCAAGAUGAGAUUUCCCAUAGCGUAAGCUAGUAAGAUCCCUGAAAGAUGAUCAGGUUGAUAGGUUCGAGGUGGAAGCAUGGUGACAUGUGGAGCUGACGAAUACUAAUAGAUCGAGGACUUAACCAUAUAAUAUGAAGCAA